rnacentral:rRNA from 1 species
GAUGAACGCUGGCGGCGUGCCUAAUACAUGCAAGUCGAGCGAACGGACGAGAAGCUUGCUUCUCUGAUGUUAGCGGCGGACGGGUGAGUAACACGUGGAUAACCUACCUAUAAGACUGGGAUAACUUCGGGAAACCGGAGCUAAUACCGGAUAAUAUUUUGAACCGCAUGGUUCAAAAGUGAAAGACGGUCUUGCUGUCACUUAUAGAUGGAUCCGCGCUGCAUUAGCUAAUUGGUAAGGUAACGGCUUACCAAAGCAACGAUGCAUAGCCGACCUGAGAGGGUGGUCGGCCACACUGGAACUGAAACGCGGUCCAGACUCCAACGGGAGGCAGCAGUAGAGAAUCUUACGCAAUGGGCGAAAGCCUGACGGGGCGACGCCGCGUGAGUGAUGAAGGUCUUCGGAUCGUAAAACUCUGUUAUUAGGGAAGAACAUAUGUGUAAGUAACUGUGCACAUCUUGACGGUACCUAAUCAGAAAGCCACGGCUAACUACGUG